rnacentral:tRNA from 1 species
GGCAUGUAGCUCAGUGAUAGAGCACUUGCCUAGAAAGUGCAAGCCCUGGGUUCAAUCCCUAGCACUGUCA